rnacentral:tRNA from 1 species
AUAGCUCAGCUGGGAGAGCGCCUGCCUUGCACGCAGGAGGUCAGCGGUUCGAUCCCGCUUGGCUCCACCA